AAAAACACGAAAUCUCAAAACCUACAUCUCAAAUAUGUUUCAAAAAGGAAAAAAAAAAAACAAGUUUUCUGUUGAACGAAGUUGAAUCUCCAUAACCCUAAUGACAUCUCUUUUAUCCAUACCCUUAUUCUAUUCUCUUCUUCUCUCUUUGUUUGCCUUCUCCACCUCUUUGGUUUUGUGAUAAAACCCUAACCCAUGUAUUAUUUUGCAGUUACAAUCAAUAAACCCUAACCCAUGUUUAUUUUGCAGGUACAAAAGAGCAAUAUCACAUUCUGUUAAUCGAUAUUUGGUUGGUAUAAAUUGCAGUGUGGAUUAUGUGAAUCGAUUCUUGCUAUCGUUUCUUCUUCUCAGCACUUUGGUCGUUGGUUUUAUUUUGAUUACAAGUUAUUUCAUUGAAAAAAACGGCAUUCCGGAAAAAGAAAAAAAAAAAGAAAAAUGUGAUCUGCACAUAUAUAACACUUUCCCGGAACAAAAAAAAGGAAGGAAAAAAAUUCAUUAAAACCCUAAAACCACAGCAUAAUGUUCUCUUUUCACUCAUCGUUUUUCUCCAUUAUAUUCUCUUUGAUUUUCAGAGUAAUCAUCGUGGCUUUUAGGUCAUGUUCUUAUUAAUACGAAGGAUAAUCACGAAACAGGGGUUUGCUUAUUUGGAUGUUUCGAUUUUGCAGACUAGGGUUUAUUGAGGUUUCGCUUUUGACUUCAAUCAAAAUCACUGGGAAAUUUGACCCUUGCUGUUGUCAAGCUUGAAUACACCACCAUGCGCAAAGAGAGGCCAAUAGAUCUUUCUACUCCUUCAAUGACCCUAAUUAAGAACUUGAGGAUGACCACAUACAUCCGUGGUGACAGGCCUGUCUUAUGCGAAAAAAGGUUGUACUUCACUCACUCCUCCACAAACGUCGAAGUUGCGACCAGAGAUAAUCAUGGAGUUCCAAGGUAUGAGUUCCAAGGUAUAUUUGAGAUAGGUACCUAUGCGGUUUAGUAAAACCAAUCGAAGACUUUAGAAGAAUGUGAUAUUGUUGAACAUACAAACUCAGGUAAUCCAAAAGAUUAAAUUUUAUUUUUGAAACCCCUAUACAAGUACCAGAUACAAAGUAGUUCUGAUUUUAAUGAAGAGUACCCAUAUGCAAGUAAUGAAAUUCCAUUUUUGGAACUUAUAUUAUUAAUCAAUGUAGCAUUCUUUGUAUUUGUGACCAGGAAUGAAUUUGAUAAAUAUGAUUUUGGACCUGAACACUGCUAUUUGUUCCAAAUACAGAUUGGAUCAUUUGGGGCAAGUGAGACAAAGGAGCUGGGCUCAACAAGCUAGAGAGUAAUUUUACUAUCAACAUUCACUAGAACCACUCACAUGCAAUCUAAGUUUGUUGGAAACAACUAAUUUCUAUAAUGAAGUUGAAUCAGCCCGUGAAGGACUUAUGUCGUAAUAGGCAAUUCAGUAAGGUCCGAAAGAUGCACUAUGGUCGCAGAAUCUUCAAGGUGUUGUGGUAGGAGAUACCAUAGAAACC